GCCUGGCUGGCUCAGUUGGUAGAGCAUGAGACUCUUAAUCCCAGGGUCAUGUGUUCGAGUCCCACAUUGGGCA